rnacentral:rRNA from 1 species
UAGCAAUACCCAGUCGAGCGGCGAACGGGUGAGUAACGCGUGGAUUAUCUGCCCUGAGGUGGGGGAUAACCCGGGGAAACUCGGGCUAAUACCGCAUGAUACCGAGAGGUCAAAGGGGGCCGCAAGGCUUCCGCCAUAGGAGGAGUCCGCGUUCGAUUAGCUAGUUGGUAGGGUAAUGGCCUACCAAGGCCACGAUCGAUAGCCGGCCUGAGAGGGUGAUCGGCCACACUGGAACUGAGACACGGUCCAGACUCCUACGGGAGGCAGCAGUGGGGAAUUUUGCGCAAUGGGCGAAAGCCUGACGCAGCAACGCCGCGUGGAGGAUGAAGGUCCUUGGAUUGUAAACUCCUGUCAGCAGGGAAAAAGCAAAUCGGCCUAAUACGCCGGUGAGUUGAUUGUACCUGCAGAGGAAGCCCCGGCUAACUCUGUGCCAGCAGCCGCGGUAAUACAGAGGGGGCAAGCGUUAUUCGGAAUUAUUGGGCGUAAAGGGCGCGUAGGCGGCUUGGCAAGUGGAAGGUGAAAUCCCUCGGCUUAACCGAGGAACUGCCCUCCAAACUGCUUUGCUUGAGGCCGGGAGAGGUGAGUGGAAUUCCCAGUGUAGCGGUGAAAUGCGUAGAUAUUGGGAGGAACACCAGUGGCGAAGGCGGCUCACUGGACCGGUUCUGACGCUGAGGCGCGAAAGCGUGGGGAGCAAACGGGAUUAGAUACCCCGGUAGUCCACGCCGUAAACGAUGAGUGCUUGGUGUAGCGGGUAUCGACCCCUGCUGUGCCGAAGUCAACACAUUAAGCACUCCGCCUGGGGAGUACGGUCGCAAGGCUGAAACUC